rnacentral:lncRNA from 1 species
GCAAUUGUCAAUAAUAGCACCUUUUGAAGUUUAUGUCUCAAAAAUAGCACUAGAAGGAGAAAGUCACAAAAAUGACAUUCAUUAAAGGGUAAAAUAUCCCUAAUACCCUUGGUUUAAAAUUAAAUAAACAAACAAAAAUAAAUAAAAAUAAAUAAAAUAAAAAUUUAAAAAAUGAAAAAAAGAUUUUUUUUUUAUAGUUUCAGAUUAUAUGUUUUCAGAUUCAAAAUUUUUAUAAUUUUUUUUUUCGAAAUUUUUUUUUUAUUUUUUAUUUUUUUCAAAUUUUCUUUUUAUAAUUUAAAAAUACUUUUUAAAACUGUUUUUAAAAUUUUUAUUUUUUAUUUUAAUAUUUUUUUUUUAUAAAAUUUUAAACCCUAAUUCCAAAACCCCACCCCUUAACUCUAAACCCUA